UCGGUUGGCAGACUAUCUGUCUCUUAGCAAAGAUGUAGGCUAGUUCAGGGAUAGUGAAAAUGAUUAUCGACGAAAAGAUGUUCUCAGAAGCCUAUUGGCCGGUCUCUUCUGCAUUUCUACCAUCUCCAAUUACAGCAGGUCAGAUUGCAGCCACAGAAGACCAUCACUUGUGUUUUCCUGUUUUAGCACUUUGCUCAAGGACACUUUUGCAGGCCAGAUAUUUACUGACAUGGAGAUUUUAAUCCAGGUCUUCUAGAUGAUGUAUAUGAUUUCCAUACUCCAUAAGCCACCCUCCUGCAUCAUUAUUAGUGUCAGUGUGUCAAUCAUGAGAAAUUUAAAGUUUUUUUUUUUUUGUGACUGAUUUAUUCAAUUCACUGAUAGGACUAAAUGCCCCAUAAUGGCAACAUUAUGAUAGAUUUACUCUUAUGAAGUCUAGAUACAGUGACUGAUAGAAUGCUCAAAUCAAUCCCAUUGCCAAUUUUAAAAAAUCUAUAAAAUAAAUACAAAAACAAUGUAUGUAUUAUAUUGUAUUUUCAAGUAUACACCUGCUUCUGCACUGCUCACCUGAAAGCUGUAACUGCUGCAGUCACUUGCUGCCCCUGCUGCUGUUCAUAAAACAUUUCGUAAUCUCCA